AUUGAACGCUGGCGGCAGGCCUAACACAUGCAAGUCGAGCGGAUGAAGGGAGCUUGCUCCUGGAUUCAGCGGCGGACGGGUGAGUAAUGCCUAGGAAUCUGCCUGGUAGUGGGGGAUAACGUCCGGACACGGGCGCUAAUACCGCAUACGUCCUGAGGGAGAAAGUGGGGGAUAUUCGGACCUCACGCUAUCAGAUGAGCCUAGGUCGGAUUAGCUAGUUGGUGGGGUAAAGGCCUACCAAGGCGACGAUCCGUAACUGGUCUGAGAGGAUGAUCAGUCACACUGGAACUGAGACACGGUCCAGACUCCUACGGGAGGCAGCAGUGGGGAAUAUUGGACGAUGGGCGAAAGCCUGAUCCAGCCAUGCCGCGUGUGUGAAGAAGGUCUUCGGAUUGUAAAGCACUUUAAGUUGGGAGGAAGGGCAGGAAGUUAAUACCUUGCUGUUGUGACGUUACCAACAGAAUAAGCACCGGCUAACUUCGUG
rnacentral:rRNA from 1 species